rnacentral:rRNA from 1 species
AGUGAACGCUGGCGGUAGGCCUAACACAUGCAAGUCGAACGGCAGCACAGUAAGAGCUUGCUCUUACGGGUGGCGAGUGGCGGACGGGUGAGGAAUACAUCGGAAUCUACUUUUUCGUGGGGGAUAACGUAGGGAAACUUACGCUAAUACCGCAUACGACCUACGGGUGAAAGCAGGGGAUCUUUGGACCUUGCGCGAUUGAAUGAGCCGAUGUCGGAUUAGCUAGUUAGCGGGGUAAAGGCCCACCAAGGCGACGAUCCGUAGCUGGUCUGAGAGGAUGAUCAGGCACACUGGAACUGAGACACGGUCCCGACUCCUACGGGAGGCAGCAGUGGGGAAUAUUGGACAAUGCGCGAAAGCCUGAUCCAGCCAUACCGCGUGGGUGAAGAAGGACUUCGGGUUGUAAAGCCCUUUUGUUGGGAAAGAAAAGCAGCACGUUAACCCCCCGCUGUUAUGACGGUACCCAAAGAAUAAGCACCGGCUAACUUCGUG